rnacentral:misc_RNA from 1 species
AACGCACAUUGCGCCCGCCAGUAUUCUGGCGGGCAUGCCUGUUCGAGCGUCAUUUCAACCAUCAAGCCCAGGCUUGUGUUGGGGGCCUGCAGCUGCUGCAGCCCCCUAAAAGCAGUGGCGGACUCGCUGUCAUACCGAGCGCAGUAGUUACAUCUCGCUCUGGGCAUGGCGGCGGGCACCUGCCGUAAAACACUCUUUCUAAGGUUGACCUCGGAUCAGGUAGGAAUACCCGCUGAACUUAA